UUUUGCACAAUGGGCGAAAGCCUGAUGCAGCAAUACCGCGUGAGUGAAGAAGGCCCUUGGGUUGUAAAGCUCUUUCGGCCAGAAAGAAGGAUCUACUUGCGAACAGUUAGUAGAUUUGACGGUACUGGAAGAAGAAGCACCUGCUAACUACGUGCCAGCAGCAGCGGUAAUACGUAGGGUGCAAGCGUUGUUCGGAAUUACUGGGUGUAAAGCGCGCGUAGGCGGGUCUGAAAGUCGAUUGUGAAAGCCCUAGGCUUAACCUGGGAAUUGCAGUCGAAACUUCAAAUCUUGAAUGUCUGAGAGGAUGGCGGAAUUCCCGGUGUAGUAGUGAAAUACGUAGAUAUCGGGAAGAACACCUGAGGCGAAGGCGGCUAUCUGGCGGUACAUUGACGCUAAGGCGCGAAAGCGUGGGGAGCAAACAGG
rnacentral:rRNA from 1 species